AUGGGAGUACUUAAUGCUUCCUCUGCAAUUUGUUCAAUCUCCAAGGGUUGAAGAAAGCACCUAAAAAGGCAAGUAAUUGCAGCAGUGGUGUACUUGUUGAUCCUCAUUUUGGAGAAAUUUUGCCAUUAAUUUUUAAUUAUUUGUAU